rnacentral:rRNA from 1 species
AGCAGCCGCGGUAAUUCCAGCUCCAAUAGCGUAUAUUAAAGUUGUUGCAGUUAAAAAGCUCGUAGUUGAAUUUCGGGAUUGGCGCAUCGGUCGUGCCUCACGGGGUAUGAACUGGUGCAGUCAAUUUCUCACCUUCUGGAGAACCGCGAUGUCCUUAAUUGGAUGCCGGCGGGGAACCAGGUACCUUUUACUUUAGAAAAAAUUAGAGUUAGUUUAAAGCAGGCUAUUUUUGCUUGAAUAC